ACGGGAGGCAGCAGUAGGGAAUCUUCCACAAUGGGCGAAAGCCUGAUGGAGCAACGCCGCGUGAGUGAAGAAGGAUUUCGGUUCGUAAAACUCUGUUGUAAGGGAAGAACAAGUACAGUAGUAACUGGCUGUACCUUGACGGUACCUUAUUAGAAAGCCACGUCUAACUACGUGCCAGCAGCCGCGGUAAUACGUAGGUGGCAAGCGUUGUCCGGAAUUAUUGGGCGUAAAGCGCGCGCAGGUGGUUUCUUAAGCCUGAUGUGAAAGCCCACGGCUCAACCGUGGAGGGUCAUUGGAAACUGGGAGACUUGAGUGCAGAAGAGGAUAGUGGAAUUCCAAGUGUAGCGGUGAAAUGCGUAGAGAUUUGGAGGAACACCAGUGGCGAAGGCGACUAUCUGGUCUGUAACUGACACUGAGGCGCGAAAGCGUGGGGAGCAAACAGGAUUAGAUACCCUGGUAGUCCACGCCGUAAACGAUGAGUGCUAAGUGUUAGGGGGUUUCCGCCCCUUAGUGCUGCAGCUAACGCAUUAAGCANUCCGCCUGGGGAGUAUGGUCGCAAGACUGAAACUCAAAGG
rnacentral:rRNA from 1 species